CAGCAGCCGCGGUAAAACAGAGGGUGCGAGCGUUAAUCGGAUUUACUGGGCGUAGAGCGUGCGUAGGCGGCUUUUUAAGUCGGAUGUGAAAUCCCUGAGCUUAACUUAGGAAUUGCAUUCGAUACUGGGAAGCUAGAGUAUGAGAGAGGAUGGUAGAAUUCCAGGUGUAGCGGUGAAAUGCGUAGAGAUCUGGAGGAAUACCGAUGGCGAAGGCAGCCAUCUGGCCUAAUACUGACGCUGAGGUACGAAAGCAUGGGGAGCAAACAGGAUUAGAUACCCCGGUAGUCCCUGUCUCUUAUAU
rnacentral:rRNA from 1 species